rnacentral:lncRNA from 1 species
AGAUCUCCAGAGCCCUUUUCAGCUCAUUAGCAUUUGUGCUUGCCCUGGGGGAAGAAUCCACCAUUCCAGCUCAGGCUAUUCUGCUGCCAGCUCCUCCCCUCUGUGAGCCAUGAUCCUGACUUCAGACCUUGCCUGAACAUUCUUCAUACCACUUGCCUUCUUUUUCCUGAAAUCAAGGCAAUAUGUCAGUAUUGAGUGAAUCCAGACAUCAUAGCUCUGUAAGGCAUGUUGAUAUUGAUUGCUUCUUUGUCUCAGGAGGUAUAAGAACUGGCAGAUCUCAAAGGUAACCUAGCAACGAUUUACAUGACAAAGCCUUGCCUGCCUACCUGCCCUCAGAUCAGCCUGGAAAUCAACCCCUGAGGAGCCUUUGUCAGAUUUAAACACACAAAUACCACUCCUGGUGUCCUCUCUUUUGGAAUGUCAGCCUUGAUUCCCAUGGGCAGGCUUCAUGCUCACUGUGAUUUAUGCCUAGCCCUGACCUGGGAGAACUUUCACAGAUGGGAUGCUGUGUUUCUCUCAUGAGUUUAGAACACCCAGGGCUUGAAAUCAGACAAUAGCCUGGCUUAGAUUUAAAAAGCCUUUUAAAAAAUGGAGUCUGACUCUCAGUUCCUCCUGUUCCACUGAAAUGCCCUGUCAUUCACACAUACAGCUGUGGUGGACUGUGCUUCUCAGACCCUUGGUGGGUGAAAAACAGUCGAUGUUGCCUGCUGCUGUAAGACCCCAAUGCAAUGUGUUUCUUAGGCCCCUAGAAACAAAGCCCAGGAUGGAGUUCUUUGUUCUUUUGCCAUCAGCCCUAAAGAAAGGUGAGAUGGGUGACCCACCUAGGCAUCUGACCCAUUGUGUAAGGGACCAAGAACAUUUACACAACUCCCCCAGUCUUUGUGAUCUAUCCUUCCCCUCACUUUCGGGGAGAGAUGAGCUGUAAUUCACCAUCCCCAUAUUUAUGAUGCUUAUCCUAUCCUUCCCUCACUUUAUGGUUCAUUCUUUAAAAACCUCCACUGCAACUGCUGGAGGUCUAUCUCCUCUGCCCCUUGUGGGCUACGAGCUCAGUCUCAGCAUGCUGAUAGUAUUUGAAUAAACGUCAUGCAAUAUUGC